rnacentral:rRNA from 1 species
AACGAACGCUGGCGGCAUGCCUAACACAUGCAAGUCGAACGAAGCCUUCGGGCUUAGUGGCGCACGGGUGCGUAACGCGUGGGAAUCUGCCCUUGGGUUCGGAAUAACAGUUAGAAAUGACUGCUAAUACCGGAUGAUGUCUUCGGACCAAAGAUUUAUCGCCCAAGGAUGAGCCCGCGUAGGAUUAGGUAGUUGGUGGGGUAAUGGCCCACCAAGCCGACGAUCCUUAGCUGGUCUGAGAGGAUGAUCAGCCACACUGGGACUGAGACACGGCCCAGACUCCUACGGGAGGCAGCAGUGGGGAAUAUUGGACAAUGGGCGAAAGCCUGAUCCAGCAAUGCCGCGUGAGUGAUGAAGGCCUUAGGGUUGUAAAGCUCUUUUCCCAGGGAUGAUAAUGACAGUACCUGGAGAAUAAGCUCCGGCUAACUCCGUGCCAGCAGCCGCCGUAAGAC